AACAGGCGUACACACGGACAGGUCAGAUUCACGUCAAUCAUUCGGAUUCAUCCGUGCGAUUGGGCGUUGUAGCUGUCAAUCAUUGCUCAAGUUAAAUUGAGUUUAAAGGCAACCGACGGCGUUGAGGUGGAUGAGAGGAGAAGGAAUAAUUCAGUUUUGAAGUGAGAUUGAGCGGGCAGAGAGAUGGGUGUUAUCGGGGUUCAGCUGGUUGUGAGCCUGCUGAUGGCGACCCUAAUGCAGAGAUUAGCACCUCAUUACUCCAUAGGUCGCUGGUUGCUCUGUAAUGGGAGCCUUUUCCGAUAUAAACACCCGUCAGAUGAAGAACUCCGAGCCUUGGCUGGAAAACAGAAACCCAAACUGAAGAGAGACAGGUUGGUCAAGCGUUCUAACGUCUGCCUUUCAG